AACGAACGCUGGCGGCAUGCCUAACACAUGCAAGUCGAACGAUCCCUUCGGGUAUAGUGGCGCACGGGUGCGUAACGCGUGGGAACCUGCCCUUAGGUUCGGAAUAACUCAGAGAAAUUUGAGCUAAUACCGGAUAAUGUCUUCGGACCAAAGAUUUAUCGCCUUUGGAUGGGCCCGCGUUGGAUUAGCUAGUUGGUUGGGUAAAGGCCUACCAAGGCGACGAUCCAUAGCUGGUCUGAGAGGAUGAUCAGCCACACUGGGACUGAGACACGGCCCAGACUCCUACGGGAGGCAGCAGUGGGGAAUAUUGGACAAUGGGCGAAAGCCUGAUCCAGCAAUGCCGCGUGAGUGAUGAAGGCCUUAGGGUUGUAAAGCUCUUUUACCCGGGAUGAUAAUGACAGUACCGGGAGAAUAAGCUCCGGCUAACUCCGUG
rnacentral:rRNA from 1 species